rnacentral:rRNA from 1 species
CCUACGGGAGGCAGCAGUGAGGAAUAUUGGUCAAUGGCCGUAAGGCUGAACCAGCCAAGUAGCGUGAGGGAAGACUGCCCUAUGGGUUGUAAACCUCUUUUAUCCGGGGGUAAAGGUCUCCACGUGUGGCUGUUUGUAUGUACUUUAUGAAUAAGGAUCGGCUAACUCCGUGCCAGCAGCCGCGGUAAUACGGAGGAUCCGAGCGUUAUCCGGAUUUAUUGGGUUUAAAGGGAGCGUAGAUGGGUUGUUAAGUCAGUUGUGAAAGUUUGCGGCUCAACCGUAAAAUUGCAAUUGAGACUGGCAGUCUUGAGUACAGGUGAGGUAGGCGGAAUGCGUGGUGUAGCGGUGAAAUGCUUAGAUAUCACGAAGAACUCCGAUUGCGAAGGCAGCUUACUAAACUGCCACUGACAUUGAUGCUCGAAAGUGUGGGUAUCAAACAGGAUUAGAUACCCGAGUAGUC